GAUUCUGACUGACCCAAGAUGGUGUGGAAAUGGAACGCAGACUCAGCGUUGCCGGCGUUUCGGAUGGAGGAGUUGUGUGAUUGAUUGGGGGAGAAGAGAAGAGCACACAACAGCUACCUAGAAGGUGAAGAAU